CGUUCCAUGGCCAAACUGGUCAAGGCAUCGCUGAUUAUAGGCGAAGGUGCGGGUUCGAGUCCUGCUGGAGCGG
rnacentral:tRNA from 1 species